AUCCAGCUGACAAGUCUCAAAUAGGACGAUACGAGUGUCGAACUGGAU
rnacentral:hammerhead_ribozyme from 1 species